GUCAGGAUGAACGCCGGCGGUGUGCCUAAUACAUGCAAGUCGAACGCGUUGGCCCAAUUGAUUGAUGGUGCUUGCACCUGAUUGAUUUUGGUCGCCAACGAGUGGCGGACGGGUGAGUAACACGUAGGUAACCUGCCCAGAAGCGGGGGACAACAUUUGGAAACAGAUGCUAAUACCGCAUAACAACGUUGUUCGCAUGAACAACGCUUAAAAGAUGGCUUCUCGCUAUCACUUCUGGAUGGACCUGCGGUGCAUUAGCUUGUUGGUGGGGUAAUGGCCUACCAAGGCGAUGAUGCAUAGCCGAGUUGAGAGACUGAUCGGCCACAAUGGGACUGAGACACGGCCCAUACUCCUACGGGAGGCAGCAGUAGGGAAUCUUCCACAAUGGGCGCAAGCCUGAUGGAGCAACACCGCGUGAGUGAAGAAGGGUUUCGGCUCGUAAAGCUCUGUUGUUAAAGAAGAACACGUAUGAGAGUAACUGUUCAUACGUUGACGGUAUUUAACCAGAAAGUCACGGCUAACUACGUGCCAGCAGCCGCGGUAAUACGUAGGUGGCAAGCGUUAUCCGGAUUUAUUGGGCGUAAAGAGAGUGCAGGCGGUUUUCUAAGUCUGAUGUGAAAGCCUUCGGCUUAACCGGAGAAGUGCAUCGGAAACUGGAUAACUUGAGUGCAGAAGAGGGUAGUGGAACUCCAUGUGUAGCGGUGGAAUGCGUAGAUAUAUGGAAGAACACCAGUGGCGAAGGCGGCUACCUGGUCUGCAACUGACGCUGAGACUCGAAAGCAUGGGUAGCGAACAGGAUUAGAUACCCUGGUAGUCCAUGCCGUAAACGAUGAGUGCUAGGUGUUGGAGGGUUUCCGCCCUUCAGUGCCGGAGCUAACGCAUUAAGCACUCCGUCGU
rnacentral:rRNA from 2 species